UCUAACAAGAGCCACGCAGCUGCAAUUAGUGUGGAUCUCAGUUUGGACUCAACUUGAACUUGAGUCACACCGGGUCGUAUUGGUAUUUAGCACUCAAACAGCUGUUAAUUUACAGAUUUAAUUGUCAAUAUUAAGCGGAGUAUUGCCCACUAACGGUGGAACAAGGCACAAAACAAGCACAAAACAAGAACAAGCACAAAAAUGCUGAUCAAUGCAGUCAGAAAGGUACAGUGAAAGCUCUGAUGGUGGAUGUAACACACUUGUAGCUGCUACUAUCUUUGGGUGCGCAAUGUCUGGAGAAUGUAGCAAUCCUAAGGGAUGUGUCUGCUGGAUUCAAUUUAAUAAAUGAAUUUCGAGCUGAAUGAAUAUAAAUAAUACCAGAAAUCAAAUCUCCAUUAAACGUUCUCCAUUGUAACUCCACUUUAUGUAUCCCCUCUGAGGAGCCAUCACUGUACUGGAAUUCUCCGUUCUCAGCGGCAAUUCGACUUCGAUUUCUUUAAUUGGCUGUAAUCUUAAGAAGUCUGCCAGCGAUUAAGCCAAAUCAAACCUACAUUUUAGCCGUCAAAACGGAAAUUUAUGGAUGAGCUUCCGCCACACAAGAGCUAAGUAAAACAAAUCGGGAAACCAGUACGAUAGAUGCGUGUAUAUCCUUGUGGUGUCAAUUGAUAUUCGAUC